rnacentral:lncRNA from 1 species
AUCAUGGUACUCGGAGCAUUGGUUUAGUAGUCAACAGUACCUAGUUUAUCAUGGUACUCGGAGCAUUGGUUUAGUAGUCAACAGUACCUAGUUUACCUGCUUCCUGAUGCGAAGACCACAUCCUGCCAUCAGUUCAUACACAGUCACCUCUGGCUCUGCCGUGAUCCUGAACACCAGCAAGCCCAGAGGAAAGGGGAGGAAAACCGCCACCGAGCAACCUCCCCCUAGAGACACCUGAGGUAGAAGUGCCACAAGACUUCUUAAAUUUUUCCACAACUUUAGCCAAA